rnacentral:tRNA from 10 species
CAUUCCUAAGUCUUCUAGGUAGGGCCGUGGGGUGGGGGAUGGAUUUCUGAGUUCCCCUAAUUCUAGGGGCAGGAAUGAAACUCCCUCCAGGUGGGAGCACAGGGGGGUCCCAAAGUCCUGGGUCCCCUUGAAGCGAUGGCCGCUGCAGCCCGAAACUGGUUGGGGCGCUUAGAAGUCCGGAUCUCAAGUUCCUCCAACGCGGGGUCUUGGGAUCGGAGCCCUGGAGGGAGUCUGCGGUCCUGGAUCCUGAGUUCUUGAAACGGGGAUACGGGGCGCUCGGCCUCCAGGGUCUCGCGGGGUGACGUCCGGGCUCCCGGCUGCUCCAGGAGGGGGCGCUGCGCACCUGGAUGGCUCAAGUCCUCCAGCCUGGGCGCCGGGGUCUGGACCUCGGGGUCUCUCAGGAUGCGGUGCAGAAAUUCCGGACGCCCGGGUCCGAGCCUCUGGACCCCUCGGGCUCCCGGCUGGGUGUCACGGGGCUCGUGUGACGGCGGCGGCGCCACAUCUGGGGCGGGAGAGUCCGAUCCCAGCUGUGAGGCGGGGGGCGGUCGCCCGGGGCUUCCCCUCCCCCGCUGUCGCCGGGGCUCACAUCCUGUUCCCGCCUGCGGGGGGGGGAGGGGCUGCCUUCCGGCCGACCCGCCAGCGAAGGGUUAAGACCCCACCCCUUGUUUUGAAUAUUCAUGAGGAGGCGUGUCCUUCUGGUAGGCGACACCCCUACAUUCCAAACGCCUCGCGGACUUUUCCCUUUUACAGCAAGGGCCGCGAGGCGUGAGAAUCCGGAACUGGCAAUGCACUGUCUCCUAUUGGUCAAUGCAAAAUGUUUAAUUUGCAUAUAUAACACAAGGCGGGGCCCUCCGGUGAGGUCACGUGGCUAUGAACCACUGAAGAAGACCCCGGCGCAGGGGUGCGGCCGGAGCUCCAGUGGCGCAAUCGGUUAGCGCGCGGUACUUAUAUGACAGUGCGAGCGGAGCAAUGCCGAGGUUGUGAGUUCGAUCCUCACCUGGAGCACUUUUUUUCCCCAUCAGUUUUUAUAAACUUACACAUCUAAUAAACCAACCAAAACAUCUACAUCACUUAGAUGAAUGAACGUUUCUAUCUUUUGAAUUAUUGGGCUCAAAAGACUCCUAGGGCUUUGGCGACGGUCCUUUGGGUGUUCUGUAUUGUAGGGAGGUGCCGUUUCCGUCCCAGCCACCAGGUGGGGGUAUCGUCUCUUAUUAGAUGCUCUGGGCAUGGAAUUGUGUGCAAACAGUUUGACUUCUGUAGAGAUGUGGGUCCUCGGCAAACUGUAUAUGACUCUGCCUCCUCUGUAUUUCUCUGUCUUUUUAAUGCCUCCUUUACAGAUGAACAUAGCUAUCUGUCUUGGAGUUUUCGACCUCUGUUGAAAAGGAAAACUAUGUUUUUGAGUCGACUUGUUUUUUCAAUAAAUAUUGAACAUUCACUAUGCCUGGCU